GUAGAGUUAGUGUAAUGAAGAACACGCGAUGCUACGAACUUCGAGAUAGGGGUUUGACUCCCUUACUCUACGCCA
rnacentral:tRNA from 1 species